UGGGGAAUUUUGGACAAUGGGCGAAAGCCUGAUCCAGCAAUGCCGCGUGUGUGAAGAAGGCCUUCGGGUUGUAAAGCACUUUUGUCCGGAAAGAAAUCCUUGGCUCUAAUACAGUCGGGGGGAUGACGGUACCGGAAGAAUAAGCACCGGCUAACUACGUGCCAGCAGCCGCGGUAAUACGUAGGGUGCAAGCGUUAAUCGGAAUUACUGGGCGUAAAGCGUGCGCAGGCGGUUUGCUAAGACCGAUGUGAAAUCCCCGGGCUCAACCUGGGAACUGCAUUGGUGACUGGCAGGCUAGAGUAUGGCAGAGGGGGGUAGAAUUCCACGUGUAGCAGUGAAAUGCGUAGAGAUGUGGAGGAAUACCGAUGGCGAAGGCAGCCCCCUGGGCCAAUACUGACGCUCAUGCACGAAAGCGUGGGGAGCAAACAGGAUUAGAUACCCUGGUAGUCCACGCCCUAAAACGAUGUCAACUAGUUGUUGGGGAUUCAUUUCCUUAGUAACGUAGCUAACGCGUGAAGUUGACCGCCUGGGGAGUACGGUCGCAAGAUUAAAACUCAAAGGAAUUGACGGGGUCAAGCUGUUUCCU
rnacentral:rRNA from 1 species